AUUGAACGCUGGCGGCAGGCCUAACACAUGCAAGUCGAGCGAGCGGCGGACGGGUGAGUAAUGUCUGGGAAACUGCCUGAUGGAGGGGGAUAACUACUGGAAACGGUAGCUAAUACCGCAUACCCUCAGAUGUGCCCAUAUGGGAUUAGCUGGUAGGUGGGGUAACGGCUCACCUAGGCGACGAUGCCUAGCUGGUCUGAGAGGAUGACCAGCCAAGCUGGGACUGAGACACGGUCCAGACUCCUACGGGAGGCAGCAGCGGGGAAUCUGGCACAAUGGGCGCAAGCCUGAUUCAGCCAUGCCGCGUGUGUGAAGAAGGCCUUCGGGUUGUAAAGCACUUUCAGCGGGGAGGCGUUACCCGCCGAAGAAGCACCGGCUAACGCCGUGCCAGCAGCCGCGGUAAUAC
rnacentral:rRNA from 1 species